rnacentral:sRNA from 1 species
GCCAGGUGUGGCACACAUCUGUAAUCCCAGCUACUCGGGAGGCUAAGGCAGGAGAAUCGCUUGAACCCAGGAGGUGGAGGUUGUAGUGAGCUGAGAUUGUGCCACUGCACUCCGGCCUGGGUGACAGAGUGAGACUUAUCCAGGUAAACGACAGGAUAACUGUUUUUUUUGAGACAGAGUGUCGCUCUUGUUACCCACGCUGGAGAGCAAUGGCACGAUCUCGGCUCACCGCAACCUCCGCCUCCUGGGUUCAAGCAAUUCUCCUGCCUC